rnacentral:rRNA from 1 species
UACGUAGGGUCCGAGCGUUGUCCGGAAUUAUUGGGCGUAAAGAGCUCGUAGGCGGUUUGUCGCGUCUGCUGUGAAAUCCCGAGGCUCAACCUCGGGUCUGCAGUGGGUACGGGCAGACUGGAGUGCGGUAGGGGAGAAUGGAAUUCCUGGUGUAGCGGUGAAAUGCGCAGAUAUCAGGAGGAACACCAGUGGCGAAGGCGGUUACCUGGAGCUUUGCUGACGCUGAUGCGCGAAAGCGUGGGGAGCGAUCCGG